rnacentral:rRNA from 1 species
GAUAACCUCGGGAAACUGGGGAUAAUACCGGAUAACGCAUAUGUGCUGGAAUGCUUUAUGCGUAAAACGGAUUCGUCCGCCCAAGGAUGGGUCUGCGGCCUAUCAGGUCGUAGUGGGUGUAAUGUACCUACUAGCCAACAACGGGUACGGGUUGUGAGAGCAAGAGCCCGGAGAUGGAUUCUGAGACAUGAAUCCAGGCCCUACGGGGCGCAGCAGGCGCGAAAACUUUACAAUGCGGGAAACCGUGAUAAGGGAACACCGAGUGCCAGCAUCAUAUGCUGGCUGUCCAGAUGUGUAAAGUACAUCUGUUAGCAAGGGCCGGGCAAGACCGGUGCCAGCCGCCGCGGUAACACCGGCGGCCCGAGUGGUGACCGUUAUUAUUGGGUCUAAAGGGUCCGUAGCCGGUUUGGUCAGUCCUCCGGGAAAUCUGAUAGCUUAACUGUUAGGCUUUCGGGGGAUACUGCCAGGCUUGGAACCGGGAGAGGUAAGAGGUACUACAGGGGUAGGAGUGAAAUCUUGUAAUCCCUGUGAGACCACCUGUGGCGAAGGCGUCUUACCAGAACGGGUUCGACGGUGAGGGACGAAAGCUGGGGGCACGAACCGGAUUAGAUACCCGGGUAGUCCCAGCCGUAAACUAUGCUCGCUAGGUGUCAGGCAUGGCGCGACCGUGUCUGGUGCCGCAGGAAAGCCGUGAAGCGAGCCACCUGGGAAGUACGGCCGCAAGGCUGAAACUUAAAGGAAUUGGCGGGGGAGCACAACAACGGGUGGAGCCUGCGGUUUAAUUGGACUCAACGCCGGACAACUCACCGGGGACGACAGCAAAAUGUAGGCCAGGCUGAAGACCUUGCCUGAAUCGCUGAGAGGAGGUGCAU